UAAGGAAUCUUUCGCAAUGGGGGAAACCCUGACGAAGCAACACCGCGUGGAGGAUGAAGGCGUUUUCGUUGUAAACUCCUUUUUUGAGGGAAUAAUCUUGAAGGUACCUCAAGAAUAAGCAUCGGCUAACUACGUGCCAGCAGCCGCGGUAAUACGUAGGGACCAAGCGUUGUUCGGAUUUACUGGGCGUAAAGGGCGCGUAGGCGGCAAUUCAAGUCAUCUGUGAAAUCUCCGGGCUUAACUCGGAACGGUCAGAUGAUACUGCUUUGCUAGAGUGCAGAAGGGGCAAUCGGAAUUCUUGGUGUAGCGGUGAAAUGCGUAGAUAUCAAGAGGAACACCUGAGGUGAAGACGGGUUGCUGGGCUGACACUGACGCUGAGGCGCGAAAGCCAGGGGAGCAAACGGGAUUAGAUACCCCAGUAGUCCCUGAGCGGGCUGGCAAGGCGCAU
rnacentral:rRNA from 1 species